rnacentral:rRNA from 1 species
GAUGAACGCUGGCGGCGUGGAUAAGGCAUGCAAGUCGAACGAGAAUUUUUAAACAUGAGUUUGAGAUUAUAUCAAUUGCGAUUGUUUAAAAAUGAAAGUGGCAGACGAGGUAGGAAUAUAUAGGAACGUACCCCUAGGUCAGGGAUAACUAGUCGAAAGAUUAGCUAAUACUUGAUAUAUCGCAAGAUGAAAGAUUUAUCGCCAAGGGAUCGGCCUAUACGGUAUCACGGUAGUUGGUAGGGUAAAAGCCUACCAAGCCUAUGACGCCUAGGAGAGCUGAGAGGCUGACCUCCACCGAUGGAACUGAGACACGGUCCAUACACCUACGGGUGGCUGCAGUCGAGAAUAUUUCACAAUGGACGAAAGUCUGAUGAAGCGACGCCGCGUGUACGAUGAAGUAUUUCGGUAUGUAAAGUACUUUUAUGAGGGAAAAACGAUGAUUGUACCUCAUGAAUAAGGGGUUGCUAACUCUGUG